rnacentral:rRNA from 1 species
AUACGGAGGAUCCGAGCGUUAUCCGGAUUUAUUGGGUUUAAAGGGCGCGCAGGCGGCCAUUUAAGUCAGCGGUUAAAUCGUGGGGCUCAACCCCAUUCUGCCGUUGAUACUGGGUGGCUUGAUUGCGGUCGAGGUUGGCGGAAUUCGUUGUGUAGCGGUGAAAUGCAUAGAUAUGACGAAGAACACCGAUUGCGUAGGCAGCUGACCAGACCGCAAAUGACGCUCAUGCACGAAAGUGCGGGGAUCGAACAGGAUUAGAUACCCUGGUAGUCCGCACAGUAAACGAUAAAUACUUGUUUUCGGCGAUAUAAUGUCGGAGGCAAAGCGAAAGCGAUAAGUAUUCCACCUGGGGAGUACGCCGGCAACGGUGAAACUUAAAGGAAUUGACGGGG